rnacentral:rRNA from 1 species
UGGGUAACCUGCCUCAAAGAGGGGAAUAGCCUCCCGAAAGGGAGAUUAAUACCGCAUAAUAUGUUUAAGUCGCAUGACUUUAACAUCAAAGGAUUUUCUUUUAGAAAUUCCACUUUGAGAUGGACCCGCGGCGCAUUAGCUAGUUGGUGAGGUAACGGCUCACCAAGGCAACGAUGCGUAGCCGACCUGAGAGGGUANGCCGACAUGUACGANAGACACGUCG